CAAAGAAAAUUAAAACAAAAAUUUAGAUGCUAAGACAUAACAGAAGUUCCUAUUGUCCUCCUCCUUCCAACAUUUGAAAACCUCAUUCACCUACAGUAGAUCAAUCAUGAGUGAGAAACUAUAUAGCAGAAAAAAUGUUUAAAUGAUGCAAAAAUAACAAUCAUUACACAUGGUAUUCGGGUACAGAUUCAUUAGUCAUUCCACAUGGUAUGGCAGGUACAGAUUCAUUAGCCACUAGAGUAGAUAAUAACAUCACUGGCAACAAUUAAUACGGCUUGGAUCAAGUCUCAAGCAUAAUAGAGUACAUAUUAGUCCAGUUUAUACUCCUCUUUUAGAGGUACAGAUUAUAGCUAAUGGGAGCUGAUGUCCAGGAGUAUUUGCAAAUUAUACAACAUCAUGGAGUAGAAUAACAUGUUUAGUAGUACAUGUUAUAUAGUAAGCAAGCAAGCAAUUUGGCAAGCUAUGUUGCAAGAUAAUUGUUGUGUCGCUAACAAUCACCAUGUAAGAAUGCUUUGUUGUACUAAUACAUGCACAUCAAGCGAGAGUGGGGUUCUAUUCUUACCACAGAGGCACAAGUGAGAUGAUGCCCGAUUCGCCCUGCUUCUCCACAAGACUCGACCAGGAGCACAAGAAAGUAGGCUGGUAACAAAAUAACAAGCCACACAUAAAACUGUUAUGCCCUGGACAACUACAGAGAAGAAAGCAAAAGUAAC
rnacentral:lncRNA from 1 species